UAGAAUGAACACCAGACCGGCACUUCACACGGUGAAAGACAACCUUGGCAUUCAUCAGCAGAUAACAUGCAUCAGCAGAUAACCCUUACUCUUCAGAUUAUUUGAUAAUCAUGAGAAUGAAUACCGACAGGUUUUGCCUUGGAACACUCCUUCAUGUGACUUACCUGUUGUUGUAGGUUUAUACAACCCCCGGAAGUACAGACAACAAAGCAGACAUAAUCUGGAAUAUCGAUAACCUCUAAAGCUCUAAGAGGACCCAAAA